rnacentral:rRNA from 1 species
ACAAAGUGACAGGUGGUGCAUGGUCGUCGUCAGCUCGUGUCGUGAGAUGUUGGGUUAAGUCCCGCAACGAGCGCAACCCUUAUUGUUAGUUGCCAGCAUUCAGUUGGGCACUCUAGCGAGACUGCCGGUGACAAACCGGAGGAAGGCGGGGACGACGUCAGAUCAUCAUGCCCCUUAUGACCUGGGCUACACACGUGCUACAAUGGCGUAUACAACGAGUUGCCAACCUGCGAAGGUGAGCUAAUCUCUUAAAGUACGUCUCAGUUCGGACUGCAGUCUGCAACUCGACUGCACGAAGUCGGAAUCGCUAGUAAUCGCGGAUCAGCACGCCGCGGUGAAUACGUUCCCGGGUCUUGUACACACCGCCCGUCACACCAUGGGAGUUUGUAAUGCCCAAAGCCGGUGGCCUA